UACGGAGGGUGCAAGCGUUAUCCGGAUUCACUGGGUUUAAAGGGUGCGUAGGUGGGCAGGUAAGUCAGUGGUGAAAUCUCCGGGCUUAACCCGGAAACUGCCGUUGAUACUAUCUGUCUUGAAUAUCGUGGAGAUGAGCGGAAUAUGUCAUGUAGCGGUGAAAUGCUUAGAUAUGACAUAGAACACCGAUUGCGAAGGCAGCUCACUAAGCCAUAACUGACGCUGAUGCACGAAAGCGUGGGGAUCAAACAGG
rnacentral:rRNA from 1 species